rnacentral:rRNA from 1 species
GACGAACGCCGGCCACGUGCUUAACACAUGCAAGUCGAACGGAAAGGCCCUGCUUUUGUGGGGUGCUCGAGUGGCGAAAGGGUGAGUAACACGUGAGUAACCUGCCCUUGACUUUGGGAUAACUUCAGGAAACUGGGGCUAAUACCGGAUAGGAGCUCCUGCUGCAUGGUGGGGGUUGGAAAGUUUCGGCGGUUGGGGAUGGACUCGCGGCUUAUCAGCUUGUUGGUGGGGUAGUGGCUUACCAAGGCUUUGACGGGUAGCCGGCCUGAGAGGGUGACCGGCCACAUUGGGACUGAGAUACGGCCCAGGCUGCUACGGGCGGCAGCAGUGGGGCAUAUUGUCCAAGGGGCGGAAGCCUGAGGCAGCAGCGCCGCGCGCGGGAUGACGGCUUUCGGGUUGUAAACCGCUUUCGCCUGUGACGAAGCGUGAGUGACGGUAAUGGGUAAAGAAGCACCGGCUAACUACGUG